AACUCUAGGCAACAGAGACUCUGCCACGCUGCUCCAGCACCCAGGUUCUUAAGGGUUCCAGCUGCUGCGCUCCUGCAGACACCAGCGGCACCAAAAUUCCAUGAGCUCCCAGCAUGAAUCGAAAAAAGCUGCAGAAAUUGACGGACACCUUAACUAAAAAUUGCAAGCAUUUUAAUAAAUUUGAAGUGAGCUGUCUGAUAAAGCUUUUCUAUAACUUGGUGGGUGAAGCAACAGAGCGGCCAGGGGCCGCCAUUGGACUAGAUCGCAAUGCAUUCCGGAACAUUCUACACAU
rnacentral:lncRNA from 1 species